rnacentral:rRNA from 1 species
GAUGAACGCUGGCGGCGUGCCUAAUACAUGCAAGUCGAGCGAAUGGAUUAAGAGCUUGCUCUUAUGAAGUUAGCGGCGGACGGGUGAGUAACACGUGGGUACCUGCCCAUAAGACUGGGAUAACUCCGGGAAACCGGGGCUAAUACCGGAUAACAUUUUGAACCGCACGGUACGAAAUUGAAAGGCGGCUUCGGCAGUCUCUUAUGGAUGUACCCACGGCGCAUUAGCUAGUUGGUGAGGUAACGGCUCACCAAGUCAACGCCGCGUAGCCGACCUGAGAGGGUGAUCGGCCACACUGGGACUGUGACACGGCCCAGACUCCUACGGGAGGCAGAAGUAGGGAAUCUUCCGCAAUGGACGAAAGUCUGACGGAGCAACGCCGCGUGAGUGAUGAAGGCUUUCGGGUCGUAAAACUCUGUUGUUAGGGAAGAACAAGUGCUAGUUGAAUAAGCUGGCACCUUGACGGUACCUAACCAGAAAGCCACGGCUAACUACGUGCCAGCCGCCGCCGUAA